UACAGAGGGUGCGAGCGUUGUCCGGAAUCACUGGGCGUAAAGGGCGCGUAGGUGGCGGCCCAAGUCCAUGGUGAAAGCUCGAUGCUCAACAUCGAGUCGGCCACGGAUACUGGGUUGCUCGAGCACUGUAGGGGCAGAUGGAAUUCCGGGUGUAGCGGUGGAAUGCGUAGAGAUCCGGAAGAACACCGGUGGCGAAGGCGGCUCGCUGGGCAGUGGCUGACGCUGAGGCGCGACAGCGUGGGGAGCAAACAGG
rnacentral:rRNA from 1 species